CGAGUCCAGUGCCCAGUAGAGGGGGAGACGGGUGGGGGGGAGGACAGGUGAUGGACAGGCACGAACCCUGCAGGUUUUGACACCAAGAUCAUGAAGAACUGCGGCCAGAUCCACCUGAAGAGAACCAAGCUAGACCUUCUCAUGAACAGGCUGGUGGUCCUGAUCUUCCUGUCCCUGGUGGUGGUCUCCGUGACCUUGACCCUGGGCUUCAGUUUGAAGGGCCGAGUUCAUCUACCUGGGGAACAGCAUCUUCAUCAACUGGGACAUGCAGAUGUACCACGCACCGCAGGACAUGCCAGCCAAGGCCCGCAGCACCAGCCUCAAUGACCAGCUGGGCCAGGUGCAGUACAUCUUCUCGGACAAGACCGGCACGCUCACGCAGAACACCAUGACGUUCAAGAAGUGCUGCAUCGCCGGCCGCAUCUACGGUGGGCCCCGCUGAGGACCAGGGCCACUGCGGUCCCCGCAAGGAGCCUGAACCCCCGUCUGUGCCACACU
rnacentral:lncRNA from 1 species